rnacentral:pre_miRNA from 1 species
CACGCACUGGUGGGGUCCCUCGGCCUGGCCUGCGCCCUCUCACAAUCCAGGACCCCCCCACCAGGGGAUGUCGGACUGCCAGUUUCAGCCCGAUCCCCGUAGGCCAGGCCGAGGGACCCCACCAGUGCACG